rnacentral:rRNA from 1 species
CCUACGGGAGGCAGCAGUGAGGAAUAUUGGUCAAUGGGCGGGAGCCUGAACCAGCCAAGUCGCGUGAGGGAAGACGGUCCUAUGGAUUGUAAACCCCUUUAGGCGGGGAGCAAUGCCGGGCACGCGUGCCCGGAGGGAGAGUACCCGCAGAAUAAGCAUCGGCUAACUUCGUGCCAGCAGCCGCGGUAAUACGGAGGAUGCGAGCGUUAUCCGGAUUUAAGGGGUUUAAAGGGUGCGUAGGCGGAUUGUUAAGUCAGCGGUAAAAUGUCCGGGCUCAAGCCGGGCCGGCCGUUGAAACUGGGGAUCUUGAGUGGGCGAGAAGUAGGCGGAAUGCGUGGUGUAGCGGUGAAAUGCAUAGAUAUCACGCAGAACUCCGAUUGCGAAGGCAGCAUGCCGGCGCCCGACUGACGCUGAGGCACGAAAGCGUGGGGAUCGAACAGGAUUAGAUACCCUAGUAGUC